GGAAUGAGAACACUCUAAAUCCUUUAACGAAAAUCUAUUGGAAGGCAAGUCUGGUGCCAGCAGCUGCGGUAAUUCCAGCUCCAAUAGCGUAUAUUAAAGUUGUUGCGGUUAAAAAGCUCGUAGUUGGUUCUGCGUGCCACGCUGUCGGUUCACCGCCUGCCGGUGCAACUGGCAUGCCGUGGCAUGUCCUGUCGGUGGCGGAUAGGCCCCGCUGGCCGCCCUGUGCGGUUUAUACCUGCGCAGGUAGUGGGCAGAGGGUGUCCUUGUACGCCGGCUCAAUCCUACCGCGGUGCUCUUCACCGAGUGUCGAGGUAGGCCGACACUGUUUACUUUGAACAAAUUAGAGUGCUUAAAGCAGGCUCUUAAAUCAGCCUGAAUAGUGGUGCAUGGAAUAAUGGAACAGGACCUUGGUUCUAUUUUGUUGGUUUUCGGAAUCCAAGGUAAUGAUCAAUAAGGACAGGCGGGGGCAUUCGUAUUGCGACGUUAGAGGUGAAAUUCUUGGAUCGUCGCAAGACGCACUAAAGCGAAAGCAUUUGCCAAGUAUGUCUUAAUUGAUCAAGAACGAAAGUUAGAGGCUCGAAGGCGAUCAGAUACCGCCCUAGUUCUAACCAUAAACGAUGCCAGCCAGCGAUCCGCCGACGUUCCUCCGAUGACUCGGCGGGGAGCUUUCCCCGGGAAACCAAAGCUUUUGGGUUCCGGGGGAAGUAUGGUUGCAAAGCUGAAACUUAAAGGAAUUGACGGAAGGGCACUACCAGGAGUGGAGCCUGCGGUUUAAUUUGACUCAACACGGGAAAGCUCACCAGGCCCGGACAUUGGAAGGAUUGACAGAUCGAUAGCUCUUUCUCGAUUCAUUGGGUAGUGGUGCAUGGCCGUUCGUGGUUGGUGGACUGAUUUGUCUGGUUAAUUCUGAUAACGAACGAGACUCUAACCUAUUAACUAGACGAUAUACCGGUAUAAAAACCCUACCGGCGAGAUUUAUUCUUCUUAA
rnacentral:rRNA from 1 species